rnacentral:rRNA from 1 species
CGCUGGAUUAGGCAUGCAGUCGCGCGGACCAGCAAUGGUUAGCGGCGAAAGGGAGAGUAACGCGUGGGUUAUCUGCCUCUUGGGCCAGGAUAGCUGCGGGAAACUGCAGGUAAUACUGGAUAAUGUCUUCGGACCAAAGGUGCGAUUCCGCCGGGAGAUGAGCCCGCGUCCUAUUAGCUAGUUGGUGAGGUAAUGGCUCACCAAGGCUUAGAUGGGUAGGGGGUGUGAGAGCACGACCCCCCUCACUGGGACUGAGACACUGCCCAGACACCUACGGGUGGCUGCAGUCGAGGAUCUUCGGCAAUGAGCGCAAGCUUGACCGAGCGACGCCGCGUGCGGGAUGAAGGCCUUCGGGUUGUAAACCGCUGUCAGAGGGGACGAAGUGCUAGCGGGUACUCUCGCUAGUUUGACAGAUCCUCAAAGGAAGGGUGGGCUAAGUUCGUGCCAGCAGCCGCGGUAAGACGUACCACCCGAACGUUAUUCGGAUUUACUGGGCUUAAAGAGUCCGUAGGCGGCCAAGUAAGUUGGAUGUGAAAUACCUCGGCCUAACCGAGGAACAGCAUUCAAAACUACUUGGCUUGAGAGAGACAGAGGUGAGCGGAACUGAUGGUGGAGCGGUGAAAUGCGUUGAUAUCAUCAGGAACACCGGUGGCGAAAGCGGCUCACUGGGUCUCUUCUGACGCUCAGGGACGAAAGCUAGGGGAGCGAACGGGAUUAGAUACCCCGGUAGUCCUAGCCUUAAACGAUGAGCACUAGAUCGUAGGGACCUC